AUUAAACUGGCGCCAAAGUCUAAAUUCUGCAGAAAGUGUAUUCGUUUAACAUGACGCACCCUUUGCUAUGUAUGUCUUAAAUGUUUCCAGAGUUUGGUGUAAUUGGACUUAGUGGUUCAUUAAUUACCGGGCGAUUUAGGGUGCCGUCUUAUUGUUUACUGGUCUUAAACAUUUUUAUGGGAUUUUAAUCGGUUUUCAGAAUGAAAUUUUACUUCUAUUUAAGCUGCAGCAGUACAAGAUACAGCAAACGACUUGUCUAUGUUCGCUGUCUCUGCUGGUAGAGUUUAACAUGUGUACCACCAUGCAUUGCUAAGUUAAGGGGGCUUUGUGUUGUUUUUCGGACAAAACCCCCAAAUUGAUAGUAUUUAUACUGUAAAGCUGCUUGUUUAAACUGGCGCCAAAGCCUAAAUGCUAUAAAGCAUCUAUUAGUUUAACUGGAAACACCAUUUGCUAUGUAUGCCUUAAAUAUUUGCAGAGUUUGGUAUAAUUGGGGUCAGUGGUUCAUGAAUAACAGGGUGGUUUAGGGUGACUUCUUAUUGUUUACUGGUCUUAUGAAUUUUUAUGGGAUUUUAACCGGUUUUCAGAAUCUAGUUUUAGUUCUAUUUAAACUACAGCAGUACACCAUACAGCAAACGACUUGCUGAUGUUCGCUCUCUCUUGUGGUAGAGUUUAACACGUGUACCACGAUGUAUUGCUAUGUUAAGGGGCUUUGUGCUGUUAUUCAGAGAAAAAACCCAAAUUGGUAUAAUAUUUACACCGUAAGGUAGCUUGUUUAAACAGGUGGCAAGGCCUAAAUUCUGUAAAAAGUGUAUUAAUUUAACUUGACACACCAUUUGCUAUGUAUGCCUUCAAAAUUUCCAGAGUUUGGUGUAAUUGGCGUCAGUGGCUCAUGAAUUACAGGGCGGUUAAGGGUGACGUCUUAUUGUUCACGGGUCUUAAACAUUUUUAUGGGAUUUUAAUCGGUUUUCAGAAUGUAAUUUUAGUUUUAUUUAAGCUACCGCAGUGCAAUAUACAGCAUACGACUUGUAUAUAUUCGCUCUCUCUGCUGGUAGAGUUUAACAUGUGUACCACCAUGCAUUGCUAAGUUAAGGGGGCUUUGUGUUGUUUUUCAGACAAAACCACCAAAUUGAUAGUAUUUAUACUGUAAGGCUGCUUGUUUAAACAGGCGCCAAGGCCUAAAUGCCAUAAAGCAUCUAUUAGUUUAACUGGACGCGCCAUUUGCUAUGUAUGCCUUAAAUAUUUGCAGAGUUUGGUGUAAUUGGGGUCAGUGGUUCAUGAAUAACAGGGUGGUUUAGGGUCACGUCUUAUUGUUUACUGGUCUUAAACAUAUUUAUGGGAUUUUAACCGGUUUUCAGAAUAAAAUUUUAGUUCUAUUCAAGCUACAGCAGUACAAAAUACAGCAAACGACUUGUCUAAGUUCGCUCUCUCUGCUGGUAGAGUUCAACAUGUGUACCACCAUACAUUGCUAAGUUAAGGGGGCUUUGUGUUGUUUUUCAGAGAAAAACCCCAAAUUGAUAGUAUAUUUAAACUGUAAAGUAGCUUGUUUAUUAAACAGGCUCCAAAGCCUAAAUUCUACAAAAAGUGUAUUCGUUUAACAUGACGCACCCUUUGCUAUGUAUGCCUUAAAUGUUUCCAGAGUUUGGUGUAAUUGGACUUAGUGGUUCAUUGAUUACCGGGUGGUUUAGGGUGACGUCUUAUUGCUUACUGGUCUUAAACAUUUUUAUGGGAUUUUAACCGGUUUUCAGAAUGUAAUUUUACUUCUAUUUAUGCUACAUCAGUGAAACAUACAGAAAACGACUUCUCUAUGUUCAUUCUCUCUGCUGGUAGAGUUUAACAUGUGUACAACCAUGCAUUGCUAAGUUAAGG
rnacentral:lncRNA from 1 species